rnacentral:lncRNA from 1 species
AAGGGUUUAGGAUUUACCCAAGGGUUUAGGGUUUAUCCAAGGGUUUAGGGUUUAGGAUUUAGAGUUUAGGGAUUAGGAUUUAGGGUUUAGUGUUUUGUUGAGAACAUUAAAAAUAUAUAUUUUUUUAAUUCUUUUUUCUGUAACUAUUAUCUUUUUUUAUUUUAAAAACAUAAUAUAAUUUGAGAAUAUUUUGUUUCCUUUUUUAAAAAAUAUCAAAUUUGAAGUAAUGAAAUCCUAUUGGUUGGUGAAC